ensembl:lncRNA
UAUAAAAAAAAAUUUAAAUGAGAUGAGAGGUGAUCAUUAUCACCCACAAGUGUUCUUGCUGCUAGAGACUCUGCUGACUGAUGCAGACAGCUCUGGGGUGCUGUGGACAUCCUGUUAUCAAGAAUUCGCAUGUAUUUUCAAUCUAGACACAAUAUUCACUUAAUGGAAAUAUCAGCUUUAUGCAUUUUUUCUGAUUUGAUAAAGAAGCAAACUAUUCAUAACGACCCAAAUUCUGAAAAAAGAAGGAAACUUUGAAGAAGAAACCUGUCUAAGGCAGUAAAGGUUCAGAGGAGAAAUUAUGAACAGUGGAGUAUUUCUAGUUGAAUUGUGGUGUUAAGUCCUUAAUCAAUGAAUGUUUCAGCUGUUUUUAUAAUUCCAGCUUUCAUUUAUGACAGUGUGGCUUCUUUCCCUCUUUAUGUCGCAUCCAGUUAAUUGUACUGCACUUCUGGGGGACAUCCAGGGCAAGAUUGGAGAGAGUGACUUUGUGGGAGGCUGAAAUAAGUGAAAUGAAGAAAAGCCUUGGGAAGCAUUACGGAGUUCCUCCGGACUGCAUUUACACUGAGCACUCGGUUGUGGACAGUCAGACUUUAAUGAAGAUCUUACGCAGACUGUGGGAGACGAGAAGAGGCUAGAAACUGUGUGGUCUGUUACAGCGGGGCAGCAGGUACCAUCAUGGGUUGAUGGAGAUUAGGCAGGGACAAAAGGUGGAGACGCUCUUCAGGCUGAAGCACAUCAAGGUUGGUGAACUUUGAGGAUAACUUUCCUAGAAGCACUGUCUUCACCCCUUGGACUGAAUGUCCCCUGAUAGCUUAUAGGGAAAUGUGCCCUGACAUCACCUCUCUCUCCCCCAGGUCCCUCCACUUACCAGGAUGCUCUGCCAACACUCAGCAUUUUUAUUUUGUUUUCUUAAUACAUUUUUACAUAGUUCAUAUACAAAGCAUGUGCAAUUUGGGAUCCUGUCUGCUUUACCUUUGAGCUUCUCAGGUGGCUCAGCAGUAAAGAAUCUGCCCGCCAAUGCAACAGGCUUGGGUUCGAUCCUUGGGUCGGGAAGAUCCCCUGGAGAAGGAAAUGGCAACACACUCCAGUAUUCUUGUGUGGGAAAUCCCAUGGAUAGAGGAGCCUGGCGGGCUGCAAAGAGUUGGAUACAACUGAGCAACUGAGCACGCAAAUGUAAUCAAGUGAAUUAUUAAUGAACAUUACAUAAUCAACAUCUUUUAAGUGCAUCGUAACACACACACACACAUAUACUCUACUUAGACAUUUUCUUGACAUUUUCUGGUUUAUACAUUUAUAUCAGCAUUUCUCAUUAUUGAAAUGACUGUUUCAGAGGGCAAAAGUAUUAUUAAG